rnacentral:lncRNA from 1 species
AGUGGUGCUUUCAAGAGAGCAUCAGUUUUUUGAGCUUUCUAAUGGCUCACAUGUGUUUUAUUAAAAAUUCAGAUAAUACAGAAAAUAUGAAUAAAAUAAAAUCACCCAAAAUACAUUUUCUUUAGUAUAACCACUGUUAAUAUUUUGGUAUAUAUUCUUCUAUUCCUUUACCCAUGCAUAUAGGUGUCUGUGUGUAUGUGUAUACACAGUAUAUCUUAAAAUGUAUAUUUUAACUAAAAUGGUAUAUGUG